rnacentral:rRNA from 1 species
UAAGGAAUAUUGCGCAAUGGAGGCAACUCUGACGCAGCAACGCCGCGUGUAGGAAGAAGGCCCUUUGGGUCGUAAACUACUGUAGCAGGGGAAUAAUGGCCUACCAUGGGUAGGUUUGAAGGUACCCUGAAAGUAAGCGCCGGCUAACUACGUGCCAGCAGCCGCGGUAAUACGUAGGGCGCAAGCGUUGUCCGGAUUCACUGGGUGUAAAGGGUGCGUAGGCGGGAAGGUAAGUCCGCGGUGAAAUCUCACGGCUCAACCGUGAAACUGCCGUUGAUACUGCUUUUCUUGAGUUCGGGAGAGGUUGAUGGAAUUCCAGGUGUAGCGGUGAAAUGCGUAGAUAUCUGGAAGAACACCAGUGGCGAAGGCGGUCAACUGGCCCGUAACUGACGCUGAGGCACGAAAGCGUGGGGAGCGAACA